GAUGAACGCUGGCGGCGUGCUUAACACAUGCAAGUCGAACGAAGCACUAUAGCAGAUUUCCUUCGGGAAUGAAACUGUAUUGACUGAGUGGCGGACGGGUGAGUAACGCGUGGGUAACCUGCCUUGUACAGGGGGAUAACAGUUAGAAAUGACUGCUAAUACCGCAUAAGCAUACAGCAUCGCAUGGUGCAGUGUGAAAAACUAUGGUGGUACAAGAUGGACCCGCGUCUGAUUAGCUAGUUGGUAAGGUAACGGCUUACCAAGGCGACGAUCAGUAGCCGGCCUGAGAGGGUGAACGGCCACAUUGGGACUGAGACACGGC
rnacentral:rRNA from 1 species